GGAGUUUGGCUGGGGCGGCA
rnacentral:ncRNA from 2 species